rnacentral:rRNA from 1 species
AUUGAACGCUGGCGGCAUGCCUUACACAUGCAAGUCGAACGGCAGCACGGACUUCGGUCUGGUGGCGAGUGGCGAACGGGUGAGUAAUGUAUCGGAACGUACCCUUCAGUGGGGGAUAACUAUCCGAAAGGAUAGCUAAUACCGCAUAUUCUCUGAGGAGGAAAGCGGGGGAUCGCAAGACCUCGCGCUGAUGGAGCGGCCGAUAUCAGAUUAGCUAGUUGGUGGGGUAAAGGCCUACCCAGGCGACGAUCUGUAGCGGGUCUGAGAGGAUGAUCCGCCACACUGGGACUGAGACACGGCCCAGACUCCUACGGGAGGCAGCAGGGGGGAAUUUUGGACAAUGGGGGCAACCCUGAUCCAGCCAUGCCGCGUGAGUGAGGAAGGCCUUCGGGUUGUAAAGCUCUUUCGGCCGGGAAGAAAUCGCGUGAGUUAAUACCUUGCGUGGAUGACGGUACCGGAAUAAGAAGCACCGGCUAACUACGUGCCAGCCGCCGCCGUAA